rnacentral:lncRNA from 1 species
GUGUCCUAAGUGUUCCUGGGGUUUGGUCACUCUCUAAAACCUGGGCAGAUGUUUCACUUUCAGAGCAUUUGCUAAUGCUAUACGUUUAAUCCACUUACUGUGUAUCGUGGGUGAAGUGUUAGUGUGUGACCAUGAGGACUAGAAGGAAGAACAUUAAGUUUUCUGCCACGCAUUUCUGACCGGUUCGGCUGCUGGGAGCACUUGUGCUCCCUGCCCCCGGCCGCGGCUCGGUAAUAGCUGUUGGUUGUACGAGCGCUCAACAGCAGACUCUGAACCCGAGGGGCUUUGGGCCCUGGCUUGCCUGGAGUUGCCAAGAACAUCCCCCUCCCGUCACACACCGGUGGCUGUGGGAGCUCUGGGAAGGCGUUAGUGGCUUUAAUGAGGCGUGCGGGGCGCUCGCCGUCUGGCUCAGCAGCUCUCCUCCCUGCUGCGUCUGCCUUGUCCCUUAUCCAGAAGCAGCGUCAUGUAAGGCAGAACGCAGCUUGAAACUCAGCCUAGUAAUGAAGAGUUGGCUCUGACUGACGCAGCAGCCCCUGCCUGUUUGUCCCCUGCCAAGCUGCAGGCAUCUGAGCCAGCAGUAAUUGCUUCCUUUAGCCUUGCUCCCGUUUCCGUUGUUUUGGGCUAAAUAUGUGCACUUUCUUCCAGGAUUUGAAAUUCCUGAUGGAGAUGCAGAAAAGUUAAUGUGUCCACAAGAGAUUGUAGAUUACAUUGCAGAUAAGAAGGAUGUUUAUGAAUAAAAACAGUUCUUCAAAGCUGAGCGAUGAUGUCUCUACCACCAGGACUGGGCUGGUGUCAGCGGGUAUGAAUAUAAACGCACAUGCUGCACCGUUGCUGCUUUCAUCAGAAAGUUGUACUUGGAUGUUGUAUUUAAAGCUGUCUGAAUAUGUUGUCCUUUAAAAACAAGAAAAAAAAGGAAUAAAUAUGUAAGAAAGACCAU